rnacentral:lncRNA from 1 species
CCCAGGCUAGCCACAGGGAAUAUGGGACACUAAGCAUCCAAGGCAGUCAACAGGCUCAAUUCCCUACUUUGCCUGAGUUCAGCAAGCCCUUUUCCUUAAGGGCAAAUGGAUGGCAAAGACAUUGGCAUCUGCACUGGAAACUUCCGCAGGAGAGGAGCCAUACUUGUUUGUACAAAUAGCAUUCUGGGUUUGCCCUGUGUCUGCAAGCGUUGAUUCACCAUAUUGCUUCUGAAGGAGAAGACUAUCCUCGACGUUGCAAUCAGAGCCACAUCAGCUGGGUCCCUCUCAGGAUAUUCCACGCUUAUGACAGUGAGCUAGUUAUCUGAUGGAAACAGAGCAGGAGCUUGCCAUCACCAGCCAAGCUGAUUGACUGUGUCCUAUACCAGCAUCCGCCUUUGAUAUUCAUGUUUUCAGGAAAGCUGCAUCCCUUUCACUUAUACUCUUGCUGGGGUCUCUUUAUGCACCCACUAUUACUACCGUUACAGCAUCUGUCCUCCAACUGUGAAGGAAGCUCAUCAGGAUCACCUGCGUAUCUACUAACCGUGGGUGCCAUCAGAAAUGCAAUGUCGUCAGCACCUUCUCUCCACUCUUAAGACAUUACAUCUCCACAGCCCUUGCAGCCCUUCUAGCAGCUGGAAAUUCCUGAUUUUCAAUACAAUUUGCUUCUUCCUCUUCAUAUUGCUUAGUAUCAGGGCCAACUUUUUAAGGCAAUCUUAAUGAACCUAUAACCAGUGUGUUAAAUAUAUUUGUUGAGUUUUUCCAUAAAGCUAAGUUAAUAUAACAUGAUUGUUUUCUUAUGCACCCUGUGGGGAGUAAGGAAGGUAGGGGGUAGGAAAAGUGGGGGUGUGUAAUUGACAUAGUUGGUAUAUUGCCAAAUUUACUCACCUUUCAGGACCCCCCACCCAACAGUGAGCCGAUGGCCUUCAGGUUAGCUGAGCUUUCUAAAAUAAGCAGUUCGUCUAUGGACUGAAGUCAAGAGCUCAAGCAUCAAGUACACGUCUUUGAGAAAAGCUGCCAUGCUUGGAAAAGUUAACUUUUCAGAUGCUGAUAGAAAUGAACUCUUAACCACUAGCAUGGGCAAACUUCAAAGUUGAACUGUGUGCUUGCUGCUUUCUUUCCUAGAAUUCUUGUCAUUACAAAACUAUGUAAGAUCAACGCAAAACUAUCUGUGAUGUUGAUCAAAUGCAAUAAAAAGAAUGAUACAGCCAUAUUUAAGUUUCUAUAACUUGUAUUGUCUGUGGAACUUUAUAUAGUGCCUAGUUUGCAGGAGAUUCUCAAGUAUUGGAGAUUGUUUCUGGGCAUUUCUUUGUGAUCUCCCUGUUUAGUUCUGUGAGAGCUGGCAAAUAUUGUCGGUAGCUUUAGCAGUCAAUUAAAACUCAAACCUUUAAAACUGCAAAGUGGGAAGACAGUAUCAAAACAUUUUUUAAAAUGAGAAAUCAAGUAAAAUAUACUAAGUUAUAAUCCCAGACUCUGGAUACAGACUACUUGUGUUUUGGUUUUAGCCAUUUAUUUACUAGCUAUACAAUGGUGGGCACGUGUCUUAACCUUUCUGUGACUCAGUUUUCUCAUCAGUACAAUUGGAGAUAAUAAUAGUAGUUACUCAUUGCAUUAGAAUGAAAAUCAAUUGAGUUCAUGUCUAUAAAGGGUUAGUGCUUUGCACACAAUAAGUGCAUUUGGCUAUUUAUUAAAUAAAAUACUCUCAGGAUGUGGUCAUUUAUUAGAGGGCAUUACUUCCUGGUCAGAUUCAAAAGCAGCAUAGAUGGAAUGAAUACAUACAUUCACAUAGUUAAUAUAUUUAGUUAUUAAUCCAUUAACAAUAAAUUCACUUAACAACAACGUAUUUCAGUACCAUGGUAAAUAUUCAAAUUGAAAUAAAGUACUGGAAACUGAGCAUUUAUAGCCUUGGCAUUGACAAUAUUUUUUAAAAUUUGGAUAAAGUUUGCAGCAAACUGACAGAGGUUUUGAAUUCCAACUGUGACAUUUACAAACUACAUAAUUAAGAUUUCUACUGUCUACUUCUAUUACCUGUAAAAUGGGUUCUUAUAUUACCUCAUGCAACAGGCUUGUGGUGCGGACUAAAUAAAUCAAUAUCUAGAAAGUGUUUAUCACAGUAUCCAACACAAUAAAGUAACCACACGGCAAUAUGGAGAAUCUUUUCUUUUUAAUUAGGAGGCCAUAAAACAUUUUUGGACAUGAAAAUUGAAUAACUUGUGUGGUUAUUAAGAAAUAGCAUCUGAAGAACACAAAAAUCCCAGAAAUUUUAAAGAUUCAGAAAGCAAAGAACAGAUUUAAAGAUUAUCUAAAGCUUAAAAUUUUGUUUUCUUUUGUGGCAUAGUUUUGGACUUGCAGCUAUCAAGCUAUAGUACCCAUGAAAAGGAAAGGCUUUUUCCUUUUACGCUAAAAUUUUAAAACAGAGAAGCAGUGAAUAUUAUGAGACAUAACAAUUGCUCAUGGUUAGCAAAG